rnacentral:rRNA from 1 species
AUAUCAGUCAUGCAUAGCAUAUCAAUAAGCGGAGGAAAAGAAACUAACAAGGAUUCCCUUAGUAACGGCGAGUGAAGCGGGAAGAGCUCAAAUUUGAAAUCUUCAAGGUUCUACCUUGACGAAUUGUAGUUUAUAGAAGUGUUUUCUGUUAGUGGAGUGGCAAAAGUUCUUUGGAAUAGGACAUCAUAGAGGGUGAGAAUCCCGUAUUUGGUCAUUCCUUCCUAGCGUUGUGAUACACUUUCAACGAGUCGGAUUGUUUGGGAAUGCAGUCCAAAAUGGGUGGUAAAUUUCAUCUAAAGCUAAAUAUUGGCGAGAGACCGAUAGCGAACAAGUACCGUGAGGGAAAGAUGAAAAGAACUUUGAAAAGAGAGUUAAACAGUACGUGAAAUUGUCAAAAGGGAAGCGUUUGACACCAGUGUUGUUUUUCCGAAAAUCAAUUACGAAUGUUUUAGUUUUUAAGAAGUUAUGACUUCAUCGGCUUGCUUCUCUCUUUAUGAAACUUUCUUAAUGCACUUUUCGGUUAACAAGUCAACAGUCAAUUUCUUUUGUUGUAAAAGGGUAUGAGGAUGGUGGCUUUCUUUUCGGAGAAAGUGUUUAUAGCCUUGUAGCCUCUGCAAUCGGAGAGAUUGAGGUCUGCAGCGUAGAUCCUUCGGGGUUAGAUACGUUUGUGCUAAGUUAUAGCUUUUCAUAGACAACUUGUUGACUAUGUUUAGUCUUGUAGCUUACUCGCUGAUGCUAUUUUACCUACGCUUAGGAUGUUGAUCUCUCACAGUCGAGC